UACAGAGGUCUCAAGCGUUGUUCGGAUUCAUUGGGCGUAAAGGGUGCGUAGGUGGCGCUGUAAGUCGGGUGUGAAAUUUCGGAGCUUAACUCCGAAACUGCAUUCGAUACUGCGGUGCUUGAGGACUGGAGAGGAGACUGGAAUUCAUGGUGUAGCAGUGAAAUGCGUAGAGAUCAUGAGGAAGACCAGUGGCGAAGGCGGGUCUCUGGGCUGACACUGACGCUCAUGCACGAAAGCGUGGGGAGCAAACAGG
rnacentral:rRNA from 1 species